ensembl:lncRNA
GUGGGUUGUUAUGUGUUCUUACAGAGUAACCCGGCAUUCCAGUUGUAGCAAUGGGAAUUUUAUACAGAGAACAAGAUGAAACACCAGUGUGAAGAAAAAAUCAGGUUCUCGCUUUAACUCACCUGCAGACACGAUCGAGAACAGACAAGCAGCCAGCAGAGUCCAGCAGACUGAUGUUCCAUCCAUUACUCGUAGUUUUGUGGGUCCUGAUCAGUGUUGCCAACUCCUCAGUAAGGAAAAUCGCUAUUGGCUGUCCUAAAAGUCGCUAGAAGUCGCUAAAUGACGUCAUCACCUAAUUUGCAUAAUUGGUCACGCUAAUAUAAUUGUAACCUAUGUUGUUGGAGAGAGAAAUAACAUCGUGGAAGAGACAUAAAGUGAGUAAAAAACGUCCUAAAUGCAUUUAGAGUUUAUUUAGAACUACAAAUUAAAUUUCUUUUAGCAAUUAUUGUUUUUUUAAUGUCACAAUUCCAACCCUGCUCCUUUACCCGGGCUUGGACUGGCAAAAGUGACCCGAAAUAGGCACUCUGGUGGAGUUACUUUGUGUUUGUGUGUGUUUAUAAGUAGUUUUAAACCUUGUGAUCCACAAAACAGCAGAAGAGUAAAAGAUUAAAAGAAGAACUGACUGCGUUACAGCACCCGCUGCUUGUUGAGAGUAAAAGCGAUACGCGCUUUCACGUCUUUUUUUAGCGACUUUUUAUAGAAAAAAAGUCGCUAGGGGGUCUGAAAACUCGCUAAAUAUAGCGACAAAGUCGCUAAGUUGGCAACACUGGUCCUGAUCAGAUCAGAGUGGUACAAAAGUUGGAGUGAAAAGUUCCCGACCGAUCGUGAAUUGUUGCUGGAGAAUGAUCGCUAACGCACCAGUUACACAGGACAGCAGAUCGAUGAGAGACCCGCUGACAGCAACCGAAAAAUGUGUUGCUCGCCGGGAUGGUAAAACCUGUGCUGUGCUGCUGUUGGGACAGUCAAUGUGUCUAAGUUGAGCACAAAAAAAUCAAAUGAGGGUGUCUGACACUGUUGCAGUAAAGGGACCUGGCUUCCAUCAGUCACAUGAUUACUAUUAACCAAUGAUCGCCCUUGACGGCAAAGCGCGCUGGUUAGGAGCUGGGAAUGAGCUCACGAAGAAAAGGAGGAGAAACACAAACUAACUCAGAGACACAGACUGAUGCGACACAACCAUCUCAGAUCAGCACAGCCCUGCCCUCCAGCACUAUCAGCAGCAGAAGCAGCAGCAACCCCUCAACAGCAACAUUGUACCCAUCAGGCCACAAAAUCAUCACAGCUGAGUCUGGAAAGAACAUCACUCUGACAUGUCGAGCUCCAAACAACAACAUAGUAGUAGAAUGGAGCAGAGCUGACCUGGAGUCAGAAUAUGUGCUUUUGUACCGAGUCGAGCUGUUUAUUCGAGAUCACCAGCAUCCAUCUUUUAAGGACCGGGUGGAUCAGCAGGACAGACAGAUGAAGGAUGGAGACGUGUUUUUGAUUCUGAUCAACGUGACGACUAAUGACACUGGAACAUACGAGUGUUGUGUCUUCAUGGGAGAAACACGCUCAUGGAAAUCCAUCAGCAUCAUCUAUCUGAUUGUUGAUCCUCCAGGUCAGACAGGAGGAGACACAGAGGAUGGAGAGGAGGAAGAUGGAGUUGGUAGAAGUCAUCAAGGUCGACUGAUGGCUGCUGAUUUAUUACUUGCUGUGAUCAUUCUUGUUUUUGCAGUUGUGAUCUCUAAAAAACACAAGAAAGAUCCUCCUCUUCAUCCUCCUGAUGAAGAAGCAAAGAAGGAAAUGGUCUGAAGCAAAGCACCAUGGAACAAGAGAGAGAGGGAGAAUACAUUAAAACCAGUUAAAAAUGUUUAACUAUAAAAAUGACAAUAUAUAUACGUAUAGAUGGAUAGUUGUAUGAGGGUAACUGAGAGUGACUUUGGCUUAGUGAGAUGAGUAGCUGCCUUGAGACUAAGAGGGCCAGGUUGGAAUCCUGCUCAGGGCAACAUUUUAGGGGGCAGGGAUAACUCAGUAGGUAGAGUGGUGGCCCCAUGAUCGGAAGGUCGGGGGUUCGAUUCCCCUGAACAGCUACCCUAAGGUACCCCUGAGCAAGGCACCGUCCCUACACACUGCUCCCCGGGCGCCCAAAGGCUGCCCACUGCUUCACUGAGUGAAUGGGUUAAAUGCAGAGAGGAAUUUCCCCACAGGGAUCAAUAAAGUACACUUUCUUUCUUUCUAACGUCACGAGGAGAACAAAGAGAAUAUAAACCAUAUAUGUGCUUAGAUCUGUGUGGACCAUUUUAGUUUAAUAUCAGAAGCUGUUUGAGUUACAUUUCAUUGCCCCAGAUGGUAACACCUCCACACCAUCUGAUAAGUUUUGGUUGAAGAUUUAUGUAAAGCAAACUGUCAGAGAAACUCUUGGAUCUGUGUCGGCUCCUCUUGAUCUCAGUGCUUUGAUCCUGUGGAUCACUGCAGACGUUUAGAGACAGUGAUAGAGACUCUCAGAGUUUCUGACUGGAUUAAACUGCACAGAUGGAGGAUUCUUUGUACGUGGUAGUGAAUCUUCAUCCAGGAGCUACAAACUGAACCAUGGCGCUCCACAGGGUCAGAUCUGGGACCAGUGCUUUUAACAUUUACAGGCUGUAACUUUGUGAUGUCAUCAGGAGACACAGAAUGAUUACACUGAUGAUACACAACUUUAUGUUGCUGUGUCUCUUGAUGACACAGAGCCAAUCAGAUCUCUCUGCAUCUUACAUAUUAAAUCCUGGAUGGCAGCAAACUUCCUCCAACUCACUCAGGAUGUGGAGACACAGACUCCUUCUUUCAUCUGCUGCAGGAUUGAUUGCUGCAGUGCUCGUCUUUUUAGUUUUCCAAAGAAACCCUUGUUACUGCAGCUGCUUUAAAAAUCAACUCCACAGCCUUAAUUACACCAAUGUUAUUGUCUGUGCAGUCAGAGUCGUCUUUAAGAUCCUUUUACUGGUUUUUAACACUCAGUGUUUCAGGACCUUCUCAUCUUUCUGAUUUACUUUUAUGCUAUGAGCACUUCAGAGCCCUCUGGGGCCCGUUCUUCGUACCUCGCUAAGUAAGUUAGCCGGAUUUGAAUGUUGACGAUUUCGCGUGAUCUUGGAUUGUUCGGUUCUCCGAAGCUCAUCUGGGACUUGCUGUCAUAGCAACAGAUCCGUAAGCGUAAACCUGCUCGGGAGCAGGUUUACUUUAUGUAAACAGGAUUAGAUCGCGGCCACUCAGGUAUGUCCGCUGCAGUUAUAUGAAAGCAAGAGCGAUAUUUCUCCACUGUGUUACCAUAAAUAAAUAUUAUCAAUGUCACUAAAGAUAAUGUAGCAUUUGAUUCUUUUAUUGAUUUCAUACAGAUACAUACAGGUCAUUUCCGAAAAAAAGGGAAAUGUACUAUUAAUCAUUCUAUUACAUGUAGUAGAUCAUGUCAGAUGUAAUUCAUAUUUUAGAGUAGUAAUAGUAAAUUACUACGUGCAAUCAAGAUGAGAGACCACGGCUAUAAAAGCGAAGGUGGAUUUGGGAAGUCUGUCGCAGCCAUGUCCUGUCCGUUUGUACGCGAGCAAGGAAGGUGCAAGAUUGAUAAGGAGAGUUUACAGAAUUUAGCGUAUAUUGCGGGAUAGACAGGAUCCUUUAGCUCAGCACGACGGUGUGCUCAUAGAGAGAUAUCGAUUCUCCCGUGAGGGUAUUAUUUUCUUUCUCUCUCUCUCUCACUCUCUCCAUACAUACAUAUAUAUAUAUAUAUGUAUAUAUAUAUCUUUAUUUGCUCUGCCCUUUUCUUGGUUGCUUUUAUAAACAAACAAACAGAUUAUUUCAGGGUCUCUUUUCAAGAGACUAAAAGCAAUAUAAGUGAUAAAUAUUACCAUUCUGUAGAAUAUUCUUAUAUUUCACUUUUACUUGUUCCCAUGUUCUAGUGGGUCCUGUUGUGGCUCUAAUGUGGAAGAGGAUAUGAUGUAAUAUAAUAUAAUAUGGUAUAAUAUAAUAUCACAUGAUAUAAUGUAAUAUCAUGGAUCACUUACGAGUUUAAUUUGUCAGCAACUUUCUGCCAGCCCUCUCUCCUUGCUUUUGCAGCCUUUGCAGUGUUCCCCUGCGUUUUAAUUAAACUAUGAAACUCCUGAAAUCCCUCAAUCAAGAGUUCUUGGUCUGCUGCCGUAAAAUACUGAGGGCGCUCCUUCGACAUCUUCGCCGACCAAUCACAGGGUUGCCGAUCAAUGUUUCUACUAUCGAUGCGUAGCCCCUUUUAAGCCACCCAGUGAUCUCAGAUUACUUCAUCCAGCUAUACUAAUCGUCAACAACAGGUGUGUUCGGAGAACCGGAUUAGCGAGCUCAAAGUUAGCGCGAUGAUUUGAUCUUGGAUGUGUCAUUUGAUCUUGGAUGUAGUAAGCGAGGUACGAAGAACGGGCCCCAGGACAGGAGACUGUUGAUCAUCUUUAUUUAUCAUGCUGCACUUUAUUUCAUUUUACUUUUGAUGUAUUUACUGUUUUCUUUGUUUAUUCCCUUUUCGUUAUAUUUCAUGUAUUCUUAGUAGCCUUGUUAUGUUAUUUAUCAUUUCUUUUUAAUCUCCAGUGUUUCUGUAUGAUGAGUGUCUGAUGUCUGGGUGUGGGAGUGGGGAUGAAGGAGUGAUGAGAGGAUGUAAUGAAGUUGAUGUAUGUGUAUUUUUUCUGCUUUUAAUUUAACAUCAUUUUGAGUGGCUUCCUUACUGUGUGAGAAGUGCUAUGUAAAUAAAGUUUUGAGUGAUAUAC